rfam:Ornithorhynchus anatinus chromosome 4, whole genome shotgun sequence.
AGCAGCGUGGCUCAGUGGACAGAGCCUGGGCUUCGGAGUCAGUGGUCAAGGGUUCGACUCCCGGCUCUGCCA